rnacentral:rRNA from 1 species
GACGAACGCUGGCGGCGUGCCUAAUACAUGCAAGUCGAACGCUGAAGCUUGGUGCUUGCACCGAGCGGAUGAGUUGCGAACGGGUGAGUAACGCGUAGGUAACCUGCCUGGUAGCGGGGGAUAACUAUUGGAAACGAUAGCUAAUACCGCAUAAGAGUAGAUGUUGCAUGACGUUUGCUUAAAAGGUGCAAUUUCAUCACUACCAGAUGGACCUGCGUUGUAUUAGCUAGUUGGUGAGGUAACGGCUCACCAAGGCAACGAUACGUAGCCGAUCUGAGAGGGGGAGCGGCCACACUGGGACGGGAGGACGGCCCAGACUCCUGCGGGAGGCAGCAGUAGGGAAUCUUCGGCAAUGGACGGAAGGCUGACCGAGCAACGCCGCGUGAGUGAAGAAGGUUUUCGGGUCGUAAAGCUCUGGUGUAAGUGAAGAACGAGUGUGAGAGUGGAAAGUUCACAUUGUGACGGUACCUUACCAGAAAGCGACGGCUAACUACGUG